rnacentral:rRNA from 1 species
GAGUUUGAUCUUGGCUCAGGAUGAACGCUAGCGACAGGCUUAACACAUGCAAGUCGAGGGGCAGGCGGGGGUAGCAAUACCCGCCGGCGACCGGCGCACGGGUGAGUAACGCGUAUGCAACUUACCUAUCAGGAGGGGGAUAACCCGGCGAAAGUCGGACUAAUACCGCAUGAAGCGACGGGGCCCCCCGCAGUGGGGGAUUAUUUGACUAAAGAUUCAUCGCUGAUAGAUAGGCAUGCGUUC